GGCAAAAGCUCAAAUUUGAAAUCUGGCGCCUUCGGUGUCCGAGUUGUAAUUUGAAGAUUGUAACCUUGGGGUUGGCUCUUGUCUAUGUUUCUUGGAACAGGACGUCACAGAGGGUGAGAAUCCCGUGCGAUGAGAUGCCCAAUUCUAUGUAAGGUGCUUUCGAAGAGUCGAGUUGUUUGGGAAUGCAGCUCUAAGUGGGUGGUAAAUUCCAUCUAAAGCUAAAUAUUGGCGAGAGACCGAUAGCGAACAAGUACAGUGAUGGAAAGAUGAAAAGAACUUUGAAAAGAGAGUGAAAAAGUACGUGAAAUUGUUGAAAGGGAAGGGUUUGAGAUCAGACUCGAUAUUUUGUGAGCCUUGCCUUCGUGGCGGGGUGACCCGCAGCUUAUCGGGCCAGCAUCGGUUUGGGCGGUAGGAUAAUGGCGUAGGAAUGUGACUUUACUUCGGUGAAGUGUUAUAGCCUGCGUUGAUGCUGCCUGCCUAGACCGAGGACUGCGAUUUUAUCAAGGAUGCUGGCAUAAUGAUCCCAAACCGCCCGUCUUGAA
rnacentral:rRNA from 1 species